rnacentral:rRNA from 1 species
GGUAGAUCUUUAAAAGCCAUCUCAGUUCGGAUUGUACUCUGCAACUCGAGUGCAUGAAGGUGGAAUCGCUAGUAAUCGUGGAUCAGCAUGCCGCGGUGAAUACGUUCCCGGGCCUUGUACACACCGCCCGUCACACCAUGGGAGUUG